UACGUAGGGUGCAAGCGUUCAUCGGAAUUACUGGGCGUAAAGCGUGCGCAGGCGGUUGUGCAAGACCGAUGUGAAAUCCCCGGGCUUAACCUGGGAACUGCAUUUGUGACUGCACGGCUAGAGUGCGGCAGAGGGGGAUGGAAUUCCGCGUGUAGCAGUGAAAUGCGUAGAUAUGCGGAGGAACACCGAUGGCGAAGGCAAUCCCCUGGGCCUGCACUGACGCUCAUGCACGAAAGCGUGGGGAGCAAACAGG
rnacentral:rRNA from 1 species